AUACUUACCUGGCAAGGGAGACACCGUGAUCAAGAAGGCGGUUCACCCAGGGCGAGGUUCAGCCAUUGCACUCCAGCUGUGCUGACCCCUGCGAAUUUCCCAAAUGUGGAAAUCUCGAUUGCAUAAUUUCUGGUAGUGGGGGACUGCGUUCGCGCUCUCCCCUG
rnacentral:snRNA from 8 species